GGUCGCAUGGAUUAGUAGGUCAUAUCAUUUGCUUCACAUCUUCUCAGGAACUGUCAACGCGAAAGGUCCGCGGUUCGAGCCCGCGUGCGAUCA